rnacentral:lncRNA from 1 species
UCAUGUUAAUCUUAUAUAGGCUCGAACAGAAAAUAAGGAAAACCGGGUCCAUGUUUUGACAGGUCAAAUAAAUUGUACAAUAAAACACUGUUAAUUGUGGUAGAGUUAAACAGACAUGUUUCAAUAUUGGACUUUUUUUAUGAUUUUUUUUUUCGCACGUAUCAGUGUUAUUUUUGGAAUAUUCAAACUUACUGCCCCUUGCUCAAAUAGGUGAUUUUUUUCAAAAAAAAAAAUAAAUAAAUAAAUAAAUAAAAAUAAUAAUUUGAGCUUUGAUGGUUGAUUUUAGAUAUCUCAGGAAAUUUGGACAGGUCUGUCUCUUGGGAACAAUGUCCAAGCAUUCAUUCAUUUUUCACAACAUUUACUAAUUCGUGGGAGUCCCCUUUUCAAAAAGCAUCAUAGAUAAUCAGUUGAAUACAAAAUCUUAUAACAAACAUCCGGCUCUUGUAUUCAAGUAACGAUACAAGUAACAAUACAAAAUCGGCCAUUUCUACUUACGAAACCUGAUGUACAUGUUUUUCAUGUCAGUUCGAAAAUAACAGAAUGAUUAAUUUUCCCCAUGAAAGGAAAGCUUUUUCUCUCUUCGGUCAGAACUGUCAAUACCUGAUGGGUUGGGAAAUAUAUGAAACUGUUCGCUGCAUAACACUUUGAGGUAGUUUGGCUUCAAACAUGUUCCACAUUAACUGUGGGUAAUCAAAUGCCGAUUAUGUCUUUUCAGAGCAUUUCAGACAAGACUGAUAAACCUUACAAUCAUUUCCCUAGGGAAUAUCUCCAGAACUGACUGGCUUUUGACUCCUGUGCAACUACAUAAUAUUGUUUAUAAAAUUAAAGUUUUAAUAUCUUUGUUUAUUUUCAGUCUAGUGUCUAGUUAAUGGCUAAAAGAAUUUACUUUGCUCUGCUUUAUUUUCAUUGACAAUACAAUGAUAUAUGAUUUAUAGCACACUUGUUGCAGUUCCACUUAAAAUACCAAAGUUGGAUAUCAUAUGUUCCGGUAGUUAUUAUCUUGAUUUGAAUUGUUUCAGUAAAAGAAAUAUUAUAAGGAACAAACAUCCAAUUAGGAUUAGCCAGGUAUAAUACAAGAAAUAAUGAAACGAAAUAAAUACCUAAAAAGUAAUAAGAAAUCAUUUUUAUUAAGGAUACAAUUCGAAAUGAUGAUAGAUUAUAUACAUUGUACACUGUCAGUGUUGAUUUAGGACGAUCCAUCGGAAUGUUUAUUUACACACGGAUAUGAACAUUAUACCAUGGGAAAUCGUAGCACAUAAUAUUUAGACUCAAGUCGGAAACAUUAUCCUGAAACGAUUAUUUUUCGUGUUAAACCUUGUGCUUCCACAGAUAAUAACUAAGAUGUUUAUUUACAAGAUUCUUAUCAUUACUUCAAACCAACGGACACUAGCUUAUGUUCCCAAAAUGUAAACAAAAUAAGAAAAUCAACUGAAAUUUAUUUUGUAAAUUAGGGCGCCAAUAUAAAUUGAAUUGAUAAGAAAGUGCUAACUACAAUAAACGCACUGGAAAGCUAUUUCGGAUAAAAUACAUCGGUUUUAGCGGACAUUAUUUAUGCAGAAUUACAGGAAAUCGUUAUUUGUUCUUGUCGUUUCUGAGCAUGGAUAUUUUUCGGAAGAGUUCGCAUGCUAGUUCCCACAUACUGGAUUCAGAUUCAUUGGUAAUGGAGGCCUUGUGUACUAUGCAAUACUAAGAAAACUACAUUCAUGUGUCAACAUUUGCUGUUAUUAACAGAGAUAUACACAGAUCAUUGUGGAUUAUAAAUAAAAGUUGGAUCUUUAAAAGCGACCACGUUACCUAACUGGAAUAGUGUUUUCAAGUAGAUGUAUUUUCGUAUUACUUUGAAUAUUACAAAUAUAUGGACAUUUGUUUUCGUAAUGUGAAAUGAUAACGUUUCUCGAAAAUGUCAGGACAGAAACAUUCAAUAAUUACAUUCUAACCAUAUCAAGUUGUGUAAGAUGUGCAAACAGUGACAAAAAUCAUGAUGGAAUAUAUUGAAAAUCUUGUAAUCUUUCACAAUUUGUAAUUAUUUCUAUGAUGACUAAUGGCAAUACGUGCAAACAACAUGUAUUUUGUCUGUUUUCAGAAAGUUGAAUGCAUAAGGACUUGUAUUCUAUUUCACACAGUAUCAGUUACCUUGGACAUUCAGUUUUCUGAAACUUAUCAGAAUUUUACCCGUUAUCUUAGCUUUCCUGUACAUUUUUAUUCUUUAUUCAAUGAAUAUACAUGUAUGAUUACAUAACACAGUGCUUAACACAGUGUUUGAAUUCUGAUAGCAACAGCAAUACUCAUCUUUUCAUCAGAUUUCAGAAUGUCUAGAAUUUUGAGUGCAAUGUUAUCACUCAUUUUAUUUAUCUGAUUUAAGAUAGAUGAAUACAAUAUCAACAUACAUGUAGGUCGCUUGUAAUGGCUUAUCGGAAUUCGGAUAGCAACAUUGACACAUUUAUUGAUUAUUUAUUUCCUCUAUUUAGAGUUAUAUAAUUCAGAUAGUUAAGUCAAUGCUGUUUUUUUCUACUGCCUGCUCUCAAAUGGUGUUUAUCUGAAUUCGGCUAGCAAACGCAAAGCACAGUUUCUCUUCUAUUCGGUUCCAGAUCGUUUUACGCUAUGGCUUAGGCGAAUUCGGAUAACAACGAUAAUACAUACACAAGAUCUAUUUCAUAUAUUCCUGAUGAGAUGCAAAACUUAUAGUUAUUUCAAUUCAAAUAGCAAAGCCAAUGCUAGGUUUUUGAACUGCAUAAUUGCUUAUCUGAAUUUGGAUAGUAAAAACGAAACACAAUUUUUAUUCUGUCCAACUUUAGAUAGUCAAUAUUGUAUGGACUUGUCUGAAUUCGGAUAAUAAUACAAACUCACAAUUUGGUCAAGUGUAUUUACUUGUUCGUUUAAUGAUCAGGUACAAGGUUUCUUCCGUAAAUUAUCGUAUUUGGUAAAGUGUAUAUUAGCUCAGGACAGAGUAGCAUAAUGAAUAUUGGAUUUAAUCUGACAAUAUUUUGUAUUUGUAUAUUAAUAUAAAAUGAAUUGAAGUUAAUCAAAGUCUGCCUUUUAUCUGUUUUCGGAUAGAGCAGUUUUCUUAUACAUACUUAGAUAUGUGGUUACCUGUUCCCUGCUCGAGGUGUCUUGUAUAAUAUUCAUGAUCAUUAACGUUAUGAAACAUUUACUUGUUCUUUUUGUGACUUUCUGAUAAGUUCUCGAUAAAUCAAGCAUUUUGACAGUUUGGAAACUGUCAAAUACAAUUGGAACGUGUUAGUUAUUUCUUUAUCUGCAGCUUAUUGGUGGUUAUGCUAUAGUUCUUAAUUGAAGAGUAAUUGGCAACGUUGUUUGACCAUGGACCUAGAGUUGAGCAUUAUCAUCUUACAAAAUAUUUUUUGGAAUAUGAUAUAUACAAUGAAAACUUGCAAAUACUAUGUUGAUAUAUUAAAGUGAGUUACAAUGAUGUAGAACUAUAAUAUAAAAACAAAAUACUGUAAAAUUAAAAUGUUUAUGUUGUAGUCAUAAAUAAAUACUGCAUAUUAUAUAUAGACUUGGUACCCCAAAACAUGUCCAGCACAGUAUAGUUUAAAUAUGGGUUGAUUUGAACUGCUAGAAUUUAAAUAUUCAGUCCUUGAAGUUGUUACAAUAAAAAACAUAAGUAUGACUUUCAAACGUGUUGGGCGACCUGUGAAGUUUCCACUUCUUUUCUAUUUAAAAUAUGUUGCUCUUGGAAACACAUUGUCAAAUUUGAAAUACAUUCUUAUUGAACGCCCUACUAUAAGUAAAAUUUUGUAACUUGUAUAUGGUAGGUAAUUCUAAGUCUGGCGUAAAACAGUCAAAUUAAAAAAAAAAAAAAAAAAAAAACCUGGCAAAAUGUGUCUAUACUGGGAUAUUUCUAUUUCGCCCUUAUUAAUCAGGGCACUUCUCCCUUCUACCAAUUUUUCAUCUAAGAAUUACGACCUUAUGUAUUUGGACAGUACAGACAGUGAAUAUGAUAUAUGUUGUGAAAAGAAAAUUAAAAAUGCAUCGUCUUUAUUCAAGAUAUAAUCAUUGAAUAUGCAAAUAAAAUGAAACUGCCUUUUACCCUUACUUUCAUAUUUGACGACUGACAUUAACUGGCCUUUGGUUUAAAUAGCUAUCUGUAAUUUCUCAUUGACAUAUGACAGGUCUGUUUUUAUAGAUAUAUCAAUUCAAACGUACGAUGAGACUAUAAUACUUAUCAUUUUUGUCAAAUAAACUACAUAUGAGCCGCGCCAUAAGAAAACCAACAUAGUGAGUUUGCGACCAGCAUGGAUCCAGACCAGCCUGCGCAUCCUCUGGUCAGGAUCCAUGCUGUUCGCUUUCGAAGCCUAUUGCAAUGAGAGAAAUUGAACAUUAGUGAACAACAUUGAUCCUAGGUUGGUUUUUCUCAUGGCGUGGCUCAUAUAUCCCAUUUAUAUACUUUCAGAGUACAUGUAAUAUAUGGUACGACGUUGGGUUAAUUAAGCCAUUUCUUUGCAUAGAUAAUUACUAUUAAACUUCUGCUCUGUCUAUGAUCACAUCUGAUAUUAUUAGAGUGAGUCUAAAAUAAGAAUAUGAAUAA